rnacentral:rRNA from 1 species
UACGUAGGGGGCAAGCGUUGUCCGGAUUUAUUGGGCGUAAAGAGCGUGUAGGCGGCCUGACAGGUCUGCUGUGAAAACUCGAGGCUCAACCUCGAGAUGUCGGCGGAAACCGUCUGGCUAGAGUCCGGAAGAGGAGAGUGGAAUUCCUGGUGUAGCGGUGAAAUGCGCAGAUAUCAGGAAGAACACCUAUGGCGAAGGCAGUCUCUGGACGGUACUGACGCUGAGACGCGAAAGCGUGGGGAGCGAACAGG